UGGUGGAGUGAUUUGUCUGGUUAAUUCCGUUAACGAACGAGACCUCGACCUGCUAAAUAGUAUCGGGAACCUUCGGGUUCGCAGAAACUUCUUAGAGGGACUUUGCCUGUUUAGGGCAAGGAAGUUCGAGGCAAUAACA
rnacentral:rRNA from 1 species